rnacentral:sRNA from 1 species
UAUGUGCAUAGACUACUAGUCCAAAUAUCUCUACUAGAGAUUAUAAUUAAAUGUAUAUUUCUUCUUUUCCAUUUUUGGCUAAUCAUUACUUUGUGUACACUUUUCAAUAGACUUCUUUCAUGAUCCUCCUUUUUAUCCAUAAUAUCAACUGCUCAUAGCAUGCAAACAUAUUACGACGUCGAUUUGCUUUUGAUUCCAUUAUAUUUUGACAUGACAUAGCUAGCUAGAUCUCUUCAUUGUCAAGUACUUGAAUGUUUCAUUUGUCAUGUUUAUGUCUCUUCUAGAGAUCAUUCACUCUCUUCCAGAGAUCAUCAAAAUAUUUAUUUCCUCAAUCUGGUCAUUUUCAAUUUUGUGCUCCUUCUCUUUU